CCUACGGGCGGCAGCAGUCGAGAAUCAUUCACAAUGGGGGAAACCCUGAUGGUGCGACGCCGCGUGGGGGAAUGAAGGUCUUCGGAUUGUAAACCCCUGUCAUGGGGGAGCAAAGUAAAAAGAUAGUACCACAAGAGGAAGAGACGGCUAACGCGGUGCCAGCAGCCGCGGUAAUACAGAGGUCGCAAGCGUUGUGCGGAACCACUGGGCGUAAAGCGUGCGUCGGCUGUUUCGUAAGUCGUGUGUGAAAGGCGCGGGCUCCACCCGCGGACGGCACAUGAUACUGCGAGACUAGAGUAAUGGAGUGGGAACCGGACUUCUCGGUGUAGCCG
rnacentral:rRNA from 1 species